rnacentral:misc_RNA from 1 species
GAAAUGCGAUAAGUAAUGUGAAUUGCAGAAUUCAGUGAAUCAUCGAAUCUUUGAACGCAUAUUGCGCCCCUCGGUAUUCCGAGGGGCAUGCCUUUUCGAGCGUCAUUACAACCGUCAAGCUCUGCUUGGUAUUGGGCCUCUGUCCCCACGCGGGCGGGCCACAAAGUCAUCAGCGGCUGAGAGAACGGCGUUCUAGCGUAGUAGAAAUUAACUCGCCAGGGACCGGCCUCAGGCAGCUGUCAAACCCGCGCCUUUGCGCACAUCUUAGGUUGACCUCGGAUAAGGUAGGGAUACCCGCUGAACUUAA